AGAACGAACGCUGGCGGCAUGCCAAACACAUGCAAGUCGAACGCUUCCGGGGCUUCGGUCGCGGAGGAGUGGCGCACGGGUGAGUAGCGCGUGGGAACCUGCCCUGUUGUGGGGGAUAACCGAGGGAAACUUCGGCUAAUACCGCAUACGCCCCGGGACUUGGUCUUCGGAUUAGGUCUGGGGGGAAAGAUUGAUCGCAGCAGGAGGGGCCCGCGUCGGAUUAGCUGGUUGGUGGGGUAACGGCUCACCAAGGCGAUGAUCCGUAGCUGGUCUGAGAGGAUGAUCAGCCACACUGGGACUGAGACACGGCCCAGACUCCUACGGGAGGCAGCAGUGGGGAAUAUUGGACAAUGGGGGCAACCCUGAUCCAGCAAUGCCGCGUGAGUGAUGAAGGCCUUAGGGUUGUAAAGCUCUUUCGCCCGCGACGAUGAUGACGGUAGCGGAGAAGAAGCCCGGCUAACUUCGCGCCAGCAGCCGCGGU
rnacentral:rRNA from 1 species